rnacentral:lncRNA from 1 species
AGACACAAAUCACAUUUCGCCUCGAUUCAUCCAUUUGUUCUUAUGACCAUUCGAAUUAAAAAAUUGGGGUGACCACUCAAAUCAAGGAGAGCCCUGCGGCCGCUGCCCAUUCUUGUUGACUUCGUCGUCCUUCAAUUAAUAUCUCACCCUACUCAGUCGUAACGGAGGUUAACAGCUAUCAAUACUAUACACUUCGAGGUUUUUUAAAUAUCGAAGGUUAAUUACAAUUUUCAAACAUUUGUCGUCGGUGUGGCAGCUCAUGUCGUUUUAAGAUGCGGCUUCUCUUGUACGCGUGGCAUUAUGUCUCAAUCUCGUAAGGGAAAGGGACGUGUUUCAACAGC